UACGUAGGGGGCAAGCGUUGUCCGGAUUUAUUGGGCGUAAAGAGCGUGUAGGCGGCCAGAUAGGUCCGUUGUGAAAACUGGAGGCUUAACCUCCAGCUGUCGAUGGAAACCAUCUGGCUAGAGUCCGGAAGAGGAGAGUGGAAUUCCUGGUGUAGCGGUGAAAUGCGCAGAUAUCAGGAAGAACACCUAUGGCGAAGGCAGGUCUCUGGGACGGUACUGACGCUGAGACGCGAAAGCGUGGGGAGCGAACAGG
rnacentral:rRNA from 1 species